AAAAAAAAAGGAGCAUCCCCUGCACCUAGUCAUGUGUCCAUGAAGAGUGAACGCUCAGUGGAUUUACCAGGAAACUUCCUGUGUGGCACUAUAGACCAGAAGUACAGACCUGGGAGGGAAGAUAUGGCCAGUAUUUCAUUGAAAAGAGGAGCAUCCCCUGCACCUAGUCAUGUGUCCAUGAAGAGUGAAUGCUCAGUGGAUUUACCAGGAAACCAGGGGACUACAGACCAGAAGUACAGACCUGGGAGGGAAGAUAUGGCCAGUGAUCUUUCAAGUACCUUGUUAACAGAGGACCACUUCAAAUGUUGAGUGUGUGCGGAAGUGCUGAAGGACCCAGUCUCCAUCCCCUGCGGACACAGUUACUGCAGGCUGUGCAUCACGUCACACUGGGUCAAGCCUAACCAUGCAGGACACUAUGCCUGUGCCCAGUGCUCACAGACAUACAGCUCCUGUCCUGCACUUUACACAAACUCAGCCUUAGCAGUGGUGGUCCAGAAGCUCCAGCACUUCAGUCCUGUUUCUCCUGAUCACUGCUAUGCUGGUCUUGGAGAUGUGGCCUGUGAUUUCUGCACUGGGAGGAAACUCAGAGCUGUGAAAUCCUGUCUGACCUGCCCUACCUCUUUCUGUGAGCCUCAUGGUAGGUAACACUACACUGAUCUAGAAUUGCAGAGGCACACGCUGAUGGGGAUUUGUCAGAAGCACCACAGAGCUCUGGAUGUCUUCUGCUGGACUGACCAGAUUCAAGUUUGCCUAUUGUGCACAGAGGACGAGCACAAUAACCAUGACACCAGAAGAAUUCACCUGAAGCAGGAAUGUACCAAUGAGACACAUGGGAAAACUGAAACAGACGACCUGAAUAAUAUUGAAAUGAAGACCUGGGAACCUGAGGAAGAAAACUUGGAGCUAUUCGCUAAGAAUACCAAACUAAAGGCAGAGAACCUGGAGCUCUUAGCCACGAACACUGAAAUGAAGGCUGGAAACACAGAGCAAAUAGCAAAGAACACUGAACUAAAACUACAGCAUACAGAGCUGAGCAGAAAGAAUGCUGAACUGGAGAUUGAUAUAUCUAAGCUAAAAGAUAAAAUCGCUACACUGGAAAAUAGAAACUCAGACCUAUCAGCUGAGAACACUCAUUUGAGUGACAUUAACCAUAAACUUGAUAUAAAGAACUGCAGGUUAAGAGAAGUAAAUGAUAAACUAUUGAUGAAGAAUUCUAACCUAAAAGUGCAGUAUGCUCAAUUGAAGAUCAAGAUGUCUAAUAUGAAAAACAGAAACUCCAGACUAAGAAAAUACAUCAUACAAAAACAAGCAGAGAACUCAAACACAUUAGUCCAUAAAACAGAGUUAGAGAAAAAGAAAUCAGACCAACUAAAAGAGAAAACUGAAUUGGAUAUUAACAUAUCCAAGUAAAGAAAAAAAAAUAAUUGGAUAAGACAAUGUAACUCAGAACUGCAGACAGAUAACUUAGAUCUAUUAGCAGAGAAAGUGGAAUUAGAGAGAGAAAACCUUCAUUUAAGGUAUAGAAAUGCUUAUCUGGUGGAAGAAACCUCCAGACUAAGACAGGAGAACACUGAACUGGAAGAGGAGCCUGGACUAAGAUAAACAAAUACCAUACUGAAGAGUCACCUAUCAAAGCAAAAAACACAUACAGUAAUGCAACGUUGACCAAAAAGUGCACCAUGUUGAAGAGACUCGUCAAUAGUGUGAUCAUAGGAAGACCUGGCUUACCAGCUAAAGUGACUCUGGACCCCGAUACAGCUCACUGACAAUUCACCAUCUCAGAGGAUGGAAAGCGGGUGAGAUAUGGGAGGAAUGAUUCUGAAAGAAUCCCUGAUAACCCACAAAGAUUUGAAUGGUUGAGUUUUGUUUUGGGUCAAGAGGGCUUCAGCUCUGGACGACACUUCUGGCAGGUGGAGGUCAACGAAUCAUGGACAAUAGGAGUCACUAAAGAGUCAGCUCCUAGAAAAGGAGGACUUUUCACAGCCACAGCCCAGAAAGGCUACUGGUGUCUACAUUGUAGUUCACAUCUUUUACAUCUACUUGAGUCUGAUUCUCUUACAUGUACCGGCCCUUCUGCCAUCGACUAUGCUCCUGAACAGCUCAGAUUGUUAUUUGUGUGCUUAGAUGUCAAUGAGAGAUGGGUCUCCUUUUAUGAUGCUGAAAGCUGGAAACACCUCCACACCUUCACGGACAUGGUUUUCAGUGAUGGAGAAAAGAUCUAUCCAGUGUUUUGUAAUAGAGAUUUGAAUGAAGACAUUAAGAUCUGCACAAUUUAAUAACUGACAUAUGCUUUCUUUCUCUGAUUGGGUUUAGGGUCAAAUAUGUCAAAUAUACUGUACUAUAUUACAUGGUUUUAUACAACAAAUAGCACUAAGCUAGACCGUAAAGCUCUGAAGAAAGUAGUGAGAUCAGCUGAACGUACCACCAGAAGUGCCCUACCCAACCUACAGGAAAUGUACAUAAGGAGAUGUCAUUCGAGAACAAGAAAAAUGAUCAGGGAUCCCAGUCACCCCAACAACUGGCUCUUCUCUGUCCAACGUUACCGCUGCCUGAAGUCCAACACGGAGAGAAUGCGGAAAAGUUUUUACCCCCAGGCUAUCAGGAUUCUAAAUGAGGAUCGUAGCAGGAGCACCAGCAUAGCAUAAACACUUUGCACUUUGACUCUUUAUUCUUCUCCCUUUAUAUAUAUAUAUAUCCUUUGCAGUCUUGGAGUCAGUGGAACAAGCAUUUCACUGCAUUUAUAGGCUACCUGUAUAAUGUAUGUGACAAAUAAACAUUUGAUUUGGUUUGGUCACAUGUUGAUGUCAUUGUGGUGGAGCUGUGGUAGCGUCAAUCAAUGAGAAAUGACUUAAUGAUCUUGGACCAAAACAUGGACUUGGAUGAUCACAUGUUGUGGCGCUAAUCCAUUAAGGGUUUUAAACACAGAUAUUAGAAUUUAACCACUACAGUUGAGCUAACACAGAAGAUGUGCUGUCUUUUGCCUGUUUCAGUUAAAAGUCUGGCAGCUGCAUAUUGAGCCUAAUAUUUCCAUCAGAAGAGGCUAUUUUACCAUGUGGGAUGUAUAAGCAGUGUUAACAUUGUUGAAAAACUGUUGAAAGUAAAGAUAUCAUUUCAAGCUAAAUAAAA